GCCUCCGGUGGUACACUAAUUUAAGCCGGUACAGGAGACUUAAAGCACACCGGAGGCGACGGGCCCAGCAUCACGUAGGCUCCCACGCCGGGCGGGGCGUUGCCCUAAGCCCCAACCUGCGGCACCGGCGACGGCCCCGCCCCGCUCAAGGGCGAAGUGAAGGUCAUCCGUAGGGUGGGCGGAAGGCAAGGACACCGGGCUUCAACCCUAAGCCUCCCUUCUUGUGCUGGGUUAGAACGAAGGAAAAUAAAACGUGACAUUUGGACUCCUCUAGGUCAGAGGGAAGAACGGAAAAGCAAAAGCAAAACCCAGCUCCGGGAACUGUCUGCAGACCUCAAGGCUUGGAGAGCAUGUAAGCUAUGGAAAUGUACGUCUGUCUACCUUCUAAUUCUAAUGAAGGAAUUAGCAUUGGAAACACCCCUGUCUGGGAACCCUAGUACCCCCACGUGUACCCAGGGCGAAGGGCCGGAGGCGUGAUUGGUCACCCCCAUCGCUUUUACAGUUUAAAUAUUCUCUUAGUUUAUCAAGUCCAAACAUCCUGGAAUCGGGUCUCUUCAGCUCUAAAAUCAACCUCGCCAUUGGUAGAAAAGGGAAGACUGCAGCCGGUGCUUGAUGAAAACACGAGGCGCUGCCUGACCGUCAACGCCACGCCCGGAGAGACCCCUGCGCGCCCCCAGCCGCGCUUCCCGCAGUGCAGCAGCAGGGAUGCAGCCUGAGCUGCGUGGGAGGCGGGACUGGACAGGAGGCGCUGCGGGGGACCCCGAUGUUUUUUCUACGAUGCCCAGGGAUUGGGGUGGGGCGAGUGCCUUGGCAUCCGAGUAGUCGCCCUGUUCCUAAUUUCAGGAAAGAACGCCUGGCUCUGUCUUAUAGACUCAGACACUAGACGACCCCUCAAUCAAUAAACCUGGAGAUGGAAAAAUUA